UACGUAGGGUGCGAGCGUUGUCCGGAUUUAUUGGGCGUAAAGAGCUCGUAGGCGGUUUGUUGCGUCUGCUGUGAAAGCCUGGGGCUUAACUUUGGGUUUGCAGUGGGUACGGGCAGGCUUGAGUGCGGUAGGGGAGAUUGGAAUUCCCGGUGUAGUGGUGAAAUGCGUAGAUAUCGGGAGGAACACCAGUGGCGAAGGCGACUACCUGGCCUGUUCUUGACGCUGAGGCGCGAAAGCUAGGGGAGCAAACGGG
rnacentral:rRNA from 1 species